AUUUUCUAGCUUCUCCAGCUGAGACUUCUCGGAGCAUUUUCUGAAUUCACCCUAUGUUAUAUGAUCCUCAUGUAGCCGGUUCCUCCAAUGACAUAAACUCGAAUUAUAAGAAUCUAUCUUCGUGAUAACAUGACGUAUAAAUGCCACUCUAAAAGGAAAUCGUUCGUCAAUGAAGUUCUAGUUAAUAAAUCUCCAGUUUCGUUUGUUAGUAGGAAGGCGAUAUAUUGAUUUUGUUUUAACCCAUGUUGCUAGUGCACGUUAGUAAUGGCUAGUAUGAGUGCCGAAUGUUUGAUGAAAGAAUUUCUGUGUAUCGACAAAAAGAACAAUGGAACUGAUCUACCCGGGGAGAGUGUCCUAUAUCGAGAACGUAGCUUACGAUCGGCGAAUCGCCGUAAGAGAAAGCGCGACUUCGCAUGUCGCCGCCAUCUAUCGGGAAGCAAAAUAUUUAUUUCUCUUUGCUGAUUUUUUCCCGUUAUUAGGAGUUUUCUCACUUCUAUCCUUUACCCUACGGCGCUUUUUGUCUUCGGAUAACUCUGUCUUCACGUGACUCGAUGCCGGGUCCUUUCAUUGCGAAGGCCACUUCUAUACAGACUAUGCCAUGCGUUCUUUUUAGCGAU
rnacentral:lncRNA from 1 species